GUGCUAAGUCGUAGUAGUUAUAGUAAAAUUUGUCCAAUUAAUUAAUCCUCCAGUUGAUGUGCAUAUUUAUAGUCCGGCGGAGACGAUAUAGUGCAAAUGCAAUCCAGUUGAAGACAUACAAUGCAUGAUGCUAUUAUGAAAGGAUGCAUGUUUACCAUUAUGGAAUGGCUUUUAACACUCCUUCAGAAUGAUACUGCUUCAGUAACACUUGGACUGUCUGAUAUAAGAGGAAGGGAAGAAAUAUUGAAGAUCAAUCAGGAUAUUAUUAUUGAACUCGGACAUUCUAGGCAAGCUUGUUUUGAUCUUGGACGCAAUACAUUGUAAUCCUGAAGCACCACCAAGAACGUUAUUGGGCGUGCUUGCGACACAUGGUCUUUCCUUUCUGAUGAUUUAGUUCACAACACGCUCACAAAGGAUAAAAAACUUUCUACGGUUUGCUUUUGGGUCUUUGCAGAUAUUAUCACCUAUACCUUUAUUUACAAUAGUAGUACUAUUUAUAUCUCUCUUUAGUACUUGCAAAAAUAAUGACAAAAUAUUCAAAAAAUUUGUGAGACAUCCUGACAAGUGAGAGGCCAAAUAUUACGGUGAGAAUCAGAAGUACACAAUAUAUAAGGAAACAAUGUAACUCACAAACAGUGGAAGCUGAACCAGGUAAUACGUAAAGCUUACUUAUUCUCGCUUAAUUCGUUAAUGAUUUAUUUACUGAGACAUAUUUGGUGCCUAAUUUAAUUCUUACAGGCUAAAGCAGAAGGACCACCUGCUAUUUUUUUAACAAUUUGCUUUUUAGAACCGUUACUUAGUUAUGACUCUAUGAAGAGCUACCUUACCGGUAAUUCUAAGGAGCUGGAAAGCAUUUCUGUGUGCUCAACUAUUCAAUGCACGUACUCCAGAAGAUAAUCCUGUGUACUUUUAUAUUUGCUUGUUUUGAUUCUUUUCUUAUUGCUAGGUGCAUCACACUUCUUUUAUAGAAGAGAUCUCUAUAACAAAGAUAUUUUAAAAGGAUCACACUGCUAUUUAUAUUACAAUGAUUUGCGUGUUGUUAAUAGUGUCCAAUGUAAAUAACUGUUUUCCUGAGGUUCCUUUUCCUUUGCAACUGCAGGGAAAAGCUUAUCGAGAGCAAUUGACGCUUGAUGCAAACUCUUGUAAUUAUGUUGGAUAGGUUUGUCUGUACUUUGCAUUAAACUUGUAUGGUUUGUCUAUAGUAAUAACCAUACAAGUUUUGACUUAUCAAUUUCUAAUAAGAUAGGUCCAUAUGAAAAGCGUGUGACAGAUCAAAUAUUAAUGAACCUUGUUUACUAACUUUGUUG